GGCCAUCCAUCCAUUCUAAGUUGACGAGUGACCUUGUCACAGUCCUUUUUAGUUUGGAAAAAUAUCAAGAUUCUGCUUCCAUCCAUUAGAUCAGAUAAAAGUUUACUGAGUCUGGGAUACUUUUCGUGUUCAGAUAUGACCUCAAUAAUUUGCUGUAUGGAAUGAUUAGCUUUCAGAUCAGGUGAUCCUAUGAUUACCUUGUAUGGGUUCUGCAGAAAUUGUCUAGCCAAGGAUUCUACUUCUCUUGGCCAAGUGGCACUCCAAUACAAG
rnacentral:misc_RNA from 1 species